rnacentral:lncRNA from 1 species
GGAUUUGGAACUCUUUGCAAUGAAGUGCAACCAUCUAACAUUAGGCCUUGUACACUUGAUGGAAGCUGAGGCAAUGUUUCAAGCUUACUACAACCCAUCAAUUGGAGACAAUAAAGCUUGGUAAGUUGACUAAGAUUCGCAGGUAGGCUGACGAAAUUGUUAUGACUAAGAAUCAGUUCUUCUAAUGAGGAUAAGCAACAUAUAUCACUAGGAAGAUCCCCUUCACAAAGAUUCAUGCCGCUUAUAUUCAACUCUCUUAAAGAACUCAAGCUUGAUAAACAAGGUAACGUCAGAGCCAUGAAAUUCGAACCUUUUUUUAAAAGCAUGGGAUUCAAACUUGAUAGUAGUACUUCGCAUCCCUUCUUAUAUAUCCUUUGUAGGAAGGAUGGUGGUGAAUUUUCAAGUACAGAGCAGCCCGAGAGAUUAAGAACUUUUAGGCUGCUGAGAUUUCCAACUGAAGAAGGAAGUUCUUCCAUGCUUGUGCCAUCUAAAUGGAGGUCCCGCAAAUGUUUCAUUUUCCCGGUAAUCUCUGAAAUCCUUUUAAGAUUCUUGCAGCCUGAAAGAAUCAAUGUUUCAAGAGACUCCAUUUCAUUAUUGAUUGAGAAACUCCUAAGACUUACACAGUUUUAAUUAAUACUACAUUCACGCAAGGCUAUUAAAGCGUGCACAACAUUGGCUAAAAUGCUAAUGGCAAAGAUGAGAAGAUCUUUGCUAAUGGCAAAGAUCAGUCAUGGGAAGUGUAUAGUGUCAGAUUUUUCUAGGUAGAUAUGAGAAAGAUUUGGGGAAUAUACCUGCUUUUUGUGCCCAGGUAUAGCCCACAAAUCACUGGUUCUUUACUGAUGUUUUUUGAAGGGGAUUAUUCCACCCUUCUUUGCAAUGAAACUACAAUCUUUCAAAAAAAAAUGAUAUCCGCAAAGGAUUUCACCUCAGUCCUGCUUUUAUGACCUUUUCAACCAAGAAAAUAAAUAAGAAAGGAUAUAAAUGCAAAUUAAACUUAUAAGAGAUGAUCCUGGAUCUUACUUUUUGAGAUAAAAUAGAAUUAGUUAAAGUCCAAUUUUAGUCAUGUAUAAAAGUUGUGGGAACAAGGAAUUAUAAGGACUAGUGAUUACCUGUUGAUCCAUCAAUCGUAUCUUUAUUGUAUCUUUUUCUUUUCUUGCUAGGCUGCUCCACUAUUGGGUCCAAGUCCUCCAAAUCACUUGGAUACACUAAUCGAGCCCCACACUUGUUCACCUUGUUACCCAUGCCAUCGAUAUCGAAUAAAAACUCGAUUCCAAUACAACUCUGUAUCCAAUCUCUGCUCUGCAAAUUCCCAAAUUGGUCAUGAAGCAAUUUUUCAACAGGCAAAUACCAUAGGCAGAGGUGGUCCUUGGAGGUCUGGGUAUUAAAACCUAUCCAAUGAGUACAUGACUUAAAUGUAAGAUCUUCAAAAUGGAUUGUAACACGACAUGUAAUGUCUUCUUCCGUCCAAUCAACAUUAUUGGAGGCGGGCACGACAACACAGCACAAGGCAAAUCCCAUCCACUGAACAUCAUUCUGUAAAAUGGGUAUCAUUAUUGAACAUUUCUCACUCUGGUGAUUAAACCAUUCAAAAAUUUCACUUCCAGGUAUAACGAUGUCAACACGUGUUCCUGCAUUCGCAAAUGUCUGCAAAACAAAAUCCCGUCAUUGGGUAAUUAGUUUAGGAUUAAAUACACAUUUUGCAAUAGAAUUAUGUUGAAAACUUUCAAUGCUUGAAGUUUGAAAUUCUUAAUUAGAUGCUCAAACUUUAGUUCAAUUAGUGGAUUUUGACAGUUUGAUUGAUACUGUUAGUCAAAUGGAUGACGUGAGCAAAGCAAGGAGUAAGAAUGCAUCAAAUGUCUAAAAAAUAACAUCAUUUUACUUUUUCAUAUUUUUUGUAAAAAUAGUUAUUUCAAAAAUUGAAAAUAAAAAAUUAGAAAAGAAAAUAAAAAUAUGUUUUUUGCUAAAAAACUUCACUUUUAAAAUUAAAAAUAAUUUUUUUGGAAAAUUCAAUAUAUUAAAAAAUUAUAAUUUUCUUAAAAAUGUUAUCUUUGAAAUUUAAAAUAAAAAAUUUUAAAAAUAUAUAAAACAAAUUAUUCUUGAAAUCAAAAAUAAAAAAUUGGGGGGAAAGAGAGAAAGGGAGGGGGCAAAUUAGUGCCAAUCCAACCAGCGCAAGCUACAUUGACGCCUUCCCUUUAUUUCCUCCCUCCCCUUUUCUUCCCUAUCUCCCUCAUCAAUCCCCUUCUUUUCUCUCUCUGAUUUUUUUUCCUUUUUUGUUUUUUUCUUAAUUUGUCGUUUUCUAGAUUUUUAAAAUUUUUAUUUUAAUAUUAAAAAUAAAAAUAUAAGAAAAAACGAGAAAUAAAAACAAAAGAUGAUGUGUCACAUUAACAUUUUUUAUUAGUUAUUUUUUUGUCACAUCACUAAUUUAACUAACAUUUUUAAUUGAGUAUCUAAUUGUUAAUUUUUAAAUUUUAAGCAUGAAAUCGACAAUUUUACUAUAGUUCGGAUAAUAAAUAUGUAAUUAAUCCAUUUAUUUACUACUAUAGAUUUUUUAAAGUGAGAGUAAGAGAGUUGGAGAAAUAUACCUUAAGAUAUCCUUUUAGCAUUCUUAGUGCAUUAUUAUUCGCAGCCAAUUUGAAGCAAUUAACACCAUAAAACCAUGUCACCCAUGAUGGAUUAUGUGGAUUUGUCAGAUUUGGAACUCUUUGCAAUGAAGUGCAACCAUCUAGCAUUAGGCCUUGUACACUUGAUGGAAGCUGAGGCAAUGUUUCAAGCUUACUACAACCCAUCAAUUGGAGACAAUAAAGCUUGGUAAGUUGACUAAGAUUCGCAGGUAGGCUGACGAAAUUGUUAUGAUUAAGAAUCAGUUCUUCUAAUGAGGAUAAGCAACAUAUAUCACCAGGAAGAUCCCCUUCACAAAGAUUCAUGCCGCUUAUAUUCAACUCUCUUAAAGAACUCAAGCUUGAUAAACAAGGUAACGUCAGAGCCAUGAAAUUCGAACCUUUUUUUAAAAGCAUGGGAUUCAAACUUGAUAGUAGUACUUCGCAUCCCUUUUUAUAUAUCCUCUGUAGGAAGGAUGGUGGUGAAUUUUCAAGUACAGAGCAGCCCGAGAGAUUAAGAAC